AUUUAAAGCUCACGAUCUUCUAGGUCUGUCUAGUUCUUCUUUAUGGUAACAUUUAAUUAUUAAUCCUUCCUUACUUUUAGGAUCUAAUUUAAGAGUGCAUUAAUGGAUUGCUCACUAGGGAGUUUGCCAAAACCAUGGCUGGACCGAGUCGUCAGCAUGUGAAGGUUGAGUGCGUGGAUUUGGAGGCAGGUCGACCUGUGACGGAGUCUGGGCUCCCCCCACUCGCCAACUGCCUGACCUUAGGCAGGUUUUGUCUCCUCCUUCAUAAGAGGAGGCCGUCUCAUAAAGUAUGAGCAAGCACAGAGCAAGGCAGAAUUAAAGCUUCAUGAGGACCAGAACUUUAUGCUUUGAGGAGGGAGAAGAAGCUCUAUAAUGAAGACCUAGGAGUGUGGGUGACUUAAGAGAUCCAGAGUGGGACCUUUGAACAGCUCAGAAGACCCAGAAGCCUAAUGGUCAUGAAUUAAAACACCACCUAUUUAGAAACGUGCUA